GACGAACCGUGCAAACGUUGUUCGGAAUCACUGGGCUUAAAGGGCGCGUAGGCGGGUGAGCAAGUCCGGGGUGAAAUCUUUCGGCUUAACCGGAAAAGUGCCUUGGAUACUGCUCGUCUGGAGGAAGGUAGGGGCAGGUGGAACUUCUGGUGGAGCGGUGAAAUGCGUUGAUAUCAGAAGGAACGCCGGUGGCGAAAGCGACCUGCUGGACCUUUUCUGACGCUGAGGCGCGAAAGCUAGGGGAGCGAACAGG
rnacentral:rRNA from 1 species